AGUCCAGGCCCGGCUUCCGCCCGGUCUCCCGGCAAGGCUGAGGCCCCGCCCCCGUCAUGGCGCCCGAGGAGAACGCGGGGAGCGAACUCUUGCUGCAGAGUUUCAAGCGCCGCUUCCUGGCAGCGCGCGCCCUGCGCUCCUUCCGCUGGCAGAGCUUAGAAGCAAAGUUAAGAGACUCAUCAGAUUCUGAGCUGCUGCGGGAUAUUUUGCAGAAGUAGACUGUGAAGCAUCCUGUGUGUGUGAAGCACCCGCCGUCAGUCAAGUAUGCCCGGUGCUUUCUCUCAGAACUCAUCAAAAAGACGUGCUGUAUUGCCCAGAAGCCAUCGUGUCGCUGGUCGGGGUCCUGCGGAGGCUGGCUGCCUGCCGGGAGCACCAGCGGGCUCCUCAAUUCUACAUGGCCCUUACCGUCUGCAACCCAGAGAUGUGCCAGCUGUUCACCACCGAGCUAUGCUGGACUGGGAUCAGAUGGGAAGCGGAAGCUCAUCAUGACCAGAAACUGUUUCCCUACAGAGAGCACUUGGAGAUGGCAAAGCUGAACCUCACACUGUAGGACUCACACAUGACUCCAACGGGAUUGUGAGAAUUAAGUCACUCUCGUGGGAAGAAUUUUUAUAUGGGAAAGCGGAUAAAACUUUCAUUGGACUGGAAUGUUUGGAGAAUGUUAAAUUCCAAAUCAGGAACCACAAACUGCGCUCUAAUAAGACAUCGGCUAUCUAAGCAUGUGGGUUCCCCCUUUCUGCCAGCAGUUCUGGUUCUUAAGAAAAUCACCAUAAAUCAGACAUGAAAAUUCUGGCUCCAAAAAUAGCAUUUUCAUUGUGCAAAUAAAAACGUGUGUAUCAAGUAUGACAUUCCCCCAACGUGGACACACUUGGUUCCUCACAAAGCCAAGCCCGCUGCAGCUGCCACAUCCCUGGACACACUCGUUUCCUCACAAAGCCAAGCCCGCUGCAGCUGCCACAUCCCUGGACACACUCGGUUCCUCACAAAGCCAAGCCCGCUGCAGCUGCCACAUCCCUGGACACACUCGUUUCCUCACAAAGCCAAGCCCGCUGCAGCUGCCACAUCCCUGGACACACUCGUUUCCUCACAAAGCCAAGCCCGCUGCAGCUGCCACAUCCCUGGACACACUCGGUUCCUCAAAAAGCCAAGCCGGCUGCAGCUGCCACAUCCCUGGGUUUAUGAUGCAGCAGGUGCUUUUUUCAAGACAGGAAUCAAAGUGUUAGGAACAUGGCAGAAAGGUGACACCUGGAGACCAAAUGCAGGGUAAGGAGUACUGCAGAGGUCACAGGGAAGUCACAGAACAGUAAUACGCUAGCAGGGGCAUGGGGCGUGAAGAACAGAAGACAGGAAGCGUUUCAGAGACUCCAAAGAAGAAAUCAGGGCCAACCACAGCUUCCCGAGUCAUUCACCAGGUGGCACCACUGCCUUCAUUUCAGCUUCCGGCCACUGGGAGGCGCUGCUCGAAAGGGUUUGCCCUGAGACACCAAGAAGAAGCUGCGGGAAGGACAGCAGGGGCCCUGGGGUUUUAGCCUCUGGCCCAGGAGUUAUGUGUCCAUAACCAAAGGGAGCACAGUCUGCACCCAGCUCUCAUCCCAUCAGAGCUGCUGCGACUCCCGCAGGUUCUUCCAGAACUGGUUUAGCUUGCCUGCAGGAUCAGGAAAGUUUGAGAAAAGCAUCUGCAAAAUACUAAAGAGCAGAGCUUACUUCAUUGCCUGUCCCCACCCCAUCCCAGGUCACCACCUGGCUGAACCCAGGUCCCCGACCCAACAACAACCCCUCCCAAGUCCCUAACUCCCUCACUUGGACUUGAGACCCUUCACAACCCAGCAGCGCUCCGCCUCCAACUUGACAUCAUGCUUUCUGGAAACUUCCCCGUGUGUCCCACUUUCCCACACUUGGUGCGCUGGAGCACCUUCCGGCCUCUACAUGCUGUACGUUCCCCUGUGAGCACCCUCCUCUCAGCCUCUGGCCAACACAGUCCCACCCAUCUGUGGGUAACAAGGGGGUGUGGGUGUUCUUUUCAGCCUUGCUAAACUGUCUGAAUCAAGGAUCACAAACUACAGCCUGCAGGCCAAAUCCAGCCCACAGCCUGUGUUUGUAAAUAAAGCUUUAUUGGAACAAAGCCACACCCCUUAAUCUACAGAUGAUCUGUGGCUACUCUCACACCACAACAGAGUACCAUGGUUCUGACAGAGACUGGGGAACCCAGUCUAAAUGACUUCUGACCUGGACCUUUACUGAAAAUCCUCCCAAUCAUUCUGUUGACAAGAAUGAUGUAUUACUUUUUGCAAUAAGAAACAAGUAACCUUUGCAGAAUUCCAC
ensembl:lncRNA novel transcript